rnacentral:lncRNA from 1 species
GCAUCCUUUUAGUCCUGAAGAUUGCAUUGAACAGCCUAGAGAGCCACUCCCCUCCAGCUUUAUCCAUGCACUUCCAGAGCUCCACCGCGAUCUCGUCAGGCCCGGUCGCUCGACCCCUACUCAUCCUACGCAACGCCCCUAAAACUUCCUCCACCCUGAUGCGUCUGCAGUACCCAAGGUCUCUAUGACGCUCUGAAUGCCCCAAC